AUUGAACGCUGGCGGAAUGCUUUACACGUGCAAGUCGAACGGCAGCACGGGGCAACCUGGUGGCGAGUGGCGAACGGGUGAGUAAUACAUCGGAACGUGCCCAGUCGUGGGGGAUAACGUAGCGACAGUUACGCUAAUACCGCAUACGAUCUAAGGAUGAAAGCGGGGGAUCGCAAGACCUCGCGCGAUUGGAGCGGCCGAUGUCAGAUUAGGUAGUUGGUGGGGUAAAGGCCUACCAAGCCGACGAUCUGUAGCUGGUCUGAGAGGACGACCAGCCACACUGGGACUGAGACACGGCCCAGACUCCUACGGGAGGCAGCAGUGGGGAAUUUUGGACAAUGGGCGCAAGACUGAUCCAGCCAUUCCGCGUGCAGGAUGAAGGCCUUCGGGUUGUAAACUGCUUUUGUACGGAGCGAAAAGGCUCUCUCUAAUACAGGGGGCUCAUGACGGUACCGUAAGAAUAAGCACCGGCUAACUACGUGCCAGCCGCCGCGGUAAAAC
rnacentral:rRNA from 1 species